AGUCAGACUUUAUUCCAGGAGCUCCUUGGAGUCCCUCAGCCCAGCCAGCCGCAUCUCCGUCCCACUCCCUCAGUGCUGGCUUAGAUGCUUGUGAGGGUCUGGGCACCAGGACAGCUUCAUGGGCAGGUAGCUGGCUUGGGUCCCCACAAGUCCCACUCCGUGAUCUUCCUUCCUCUUUAUGCCUGACACAGUCCGUACCACGGGGACUCCUCCUCCACGGCCCGGCCUUGCUGGGAAGGGGGCUGAGCCCCGAGACCCCAGCCGUAAAGUGCAGUGCCCGUUUGCAGGGCUGGCGCCAGCCAUUCAGGAGAUCAGGACGCUGAAUCCAGGGGACCCUCAGAAGCGGGUGUCCAGGAAGGAGGCAGAGCCUCGAUGGGACCUGGGGGGACCUUCAAUGGGGGGCCCCCGGGCCCGAGUCAGGAGCCCGUGGAAAGUCUUGCCGCGGGUCUGGGGUUUGCGCCGUGGUGGUCUGGGCUCCUCCGGGGGCUGCACCACAAUUCGGGGCACCUCAGGCUUGGUGCCUCCUCGUGCCCCUGCCAGCUGCUGGGCCUCAAAGAUGGCUUGGGCCCCAGGAAGGCGGGCCUGUGGCUGAGGGGGGUGCCCAGGCGCUGACUCGGGCAGCUGGGCCAGCUGGACCCUGAUCUCCCGCUGCAGGUCCCGCUCAGACAGGGCCACACUGUGCACCUGCGGGGAGCAGCUGGUGCUGAGUUUGUCCGGACUUGGGGAGGGCGGGGGGUGGGGACAGGAAACCAUGAUGUCCCCAUGGGGCGGGCAGUACACAGCCCCAGGAAGUGGCUGAGGGCUGAGGGGCUGACAGACAGCCUUGCUGGGGGAGCCACAGAAAGCCACUUGAGGCCUGGGGUUUUCAUGUUUUCUGCAGCUCAGAAGACAGGAACUGAGUCCCCGUUCUCACUUUGGCUUCCCGCUCUGGGACUCAGUCUCCCCGGCUGUGCAGCAGGGGCUGGGCCAUUGCAGAGGGCAGGCAGGGGGCACCCACCUGGGACAUGAAGACGUCCUCCUGCAGCUGGGUGGGGGGGAUGGCUCGAAGGGCGCCAAGCGUCUCCAGGAGCCCCGGGCAGGCCCUGCGCUGCUCUGCGGUGCCCAGCGCCAGGCGCAUCAGCGUCAGCCCCACACGGAACAGCACCUUGGCACCUGCAGGCCGGGGCUCACUCACCGGGAGGCCAGCCCUGCCCUGCCCCUCCUAGAUUCUAUACCUGAACCUGCCCCCAGCCAUAGUCCUGCCCCCGCCCCCAACCCAAGCCAGGAGCAAUGAGGGAGGACAGGCUUGGACUUGGUGGGGCACAGGCCCUGCACUGCCACAUCAGUCUCAGGGCUCCUGACAACCUCACACCCAGCCUUCCAGCCUCAGCUUCCUUGUCUCCACGAGGAAAGAUCAGGUGCAACCUCUGGGCAACACACAGAAAACAGAGUGCAGACCCUCCCUCCUGUGUCCCUCCACUGUAGCCUGCCCCUGGGGACAGCAGCAUUCCCGGCUCCAGGCCUCUGGAGCACUCUGCAAGUGUGCCUCCUGCUCGGAGCAGCCAGGCAGCUUUAAAACAGCAGUCCCCUCCUGCUGCUCCCUUCACACCCUCUGUCACAUCCCUUGUUUUAUUUUCCUCAUGGCACUUAUGACA